rnacentral:rRNA from 1 species
UACAGAGGUCUCAAGCGUUGUUCGGAUUCAUUGGGCGUAAAGGGAGCGUAGGUGGCGGGGCAAGUCAGGUGUGAAAUCUCGGGGCUCAACCCCGAAACUGCACUUGAUACUGCCUUGCUAGAGUACUGGAGAGGAGAUUGGAAUUUACGGUGUAGCAGUGAAAUGCGUAGAUAUCGUAAGGAGGACCAGUGGCGAAGGCGAAUCUCUGGACAGUUACUGACACUGAGGCUCGAAGGCCAGGGGAGCAAACGGG